rnacentral:rRNA from 1 species
UACGUAGGGGGCAAGCGUUGUCCGGAAUCAUUGGGCGUAAAGAGCGUGUAGGCGGCCCGGUAAGUCCGCUGUGAAAGUCCAGGGCUCAACCCUGGGAUGCCGGUGGAUACUGUCGGACUAGAGUACGGAAGAGGCGAGUGGAAUUCCCGGUGUAGCGGUGAAAUGCGCAGAUAUCGGGAGGAACACCAAUUGCGAAGGCAGCUCGCUGGGACGUUACUGACGCUGAGACGCGAAAGCGUGGGGAGCAAACAGG